UAGACAGAUUAUUGUAUUCAACUGUAUUCGCGGCGUGAAAUAGGGGAUUACAACGCCAUUCAUGGUCUAUUCAGCUGUUUUUAAACGGAAAGUGAAACAAUUAACAUAAUAGACUCCU
rfam:Nicotiana attenuata strain TT chromosome 7, whole genome shotgun sequence.